UUUGCUUUUGUCAUUUCCUUUGUUUCUUAUUUUUGAUGUUGUUGUUCAUUUCUUUCUUCAGUGGCUCCUGAAAAUCGGCAUGUAGGCCAGUAAUAAUAGGCGGAAGAGGCAUAGCCUGAAUCUAUCCAAUCUGUUCUAUCAGAGUAUGUCCAAUACACAGAGCAUAUAGCAAAGAGCAUAUAAGUGCACAGAGUGGCAACAUUCAUUAAAGAGGAAGCAGAGAACAUUGAGAAGACUGAGAGACACAGGAGAAUUAAGAAGUAUCUAUGGCAGAUUUUUACUGUUCAAUUGUGAUUUUUAGCAUCAGAGUUGGACGUGCUGCAGCUAAUAAUGUGAUGAAAUAAGGUGGUUUAAAUAUUAUUAUAAACUGCUCUAUAAAAUAUAUUUAGAUGACUAUCUGUUAAUGGAUUGAAAACAGUAACAAGUUCAUAAAUCAUAUGAAAAGCAUCCUAUCCCCUUCAUUCAAGAUAUUUACUGGAUGUUAAAAAGGACUUGCCCAUCGAAUAAAAAGACAAAAAAUCAUUUGAUGUAUUCCUAA
rnacentral:lncRNA from 1 species